rnacentral:misc_RNA from 1 species
AACCUUAUGGACCUGCGGGCGUAUACCUGCGGAGGGAUCAUUACCGAGUUAGGGUGCUCUUGAAGCGCCCGACCUCCCAACCCUUUGUCUAUGAUACCUUCUAGUUGCUUCGGCGUGCCGAGGGGUCGUACCCUCGCCGGAUCUCUGAUCUGAGCGUGCCCGCCGAUGGCCUCAACUUAAACAUUUGAACCCAAAACCUGUCGUCUGAAACAUUUGUGAUUACUACAAUCAAAAACAAAA